UUUCUUUUUUUUUCUUUAGGUCUACUUUCCAGGACUACACUAAGAAUGAUAUUUUGUCCUCUUUCAGGGAUUUGAGUCAUAAUCAGUUGUCUAACUGGAACAUCAGCUUGGAAUCACAAACAUUACAGGAAGUGAAAAUGAAUUACAAUGAACUAACAGAAAUCCCAUAUUUUGGAGAACCUACAUCUAGUAUUACUCUACUUUCAUUAGUCCAUAAUAUAAUCCCAGAAAUAAAUGCACAGGCGCUCCAGUUUUACCCUGCUCUGGAGAGUUUAGACCUCAGCUCAAAUAUAAUAUCAGAAAUCAAGACAUCUUCAUUUCCUCGCAUGCAGCUUAAAUACCUGAAUUUAAGUAAUAACAGAAUAACCACCUUGGAGGCUGGUUGCUUCGAUAAUUUAUCAAGUUCCUUAUUAGUGGUAAAGUAAAACCGUAACCGAAUUAGCAUGAUUCCACCUAAGAUCUUCAAGCUGCCUCACCUCCAAUUCUUGGAACUUAAAAGAAACAGAAUUAAAAUUGUGGAAGGUCUUACAUUCCAAGGGCUUGACUCCUUAAGAUCUUUGAAAAUGCAGCGGAAUGGAAUUAGCAAACUUAAGGAUGGAGCAUUU
rnacentral:lncRNA from 1 species